rnacentral:rRNA from 1 species
GCGCGAAAACUUUACAAUGCGGGAAACCGUGAUAAGGGAACUCCGAGUGCCCGUAAAAUCGGGCUGUCCAUCUGUGUAAAAAACAGGUGAAGAAAGGGCCGGGCAAGACCGGUGCCAGCCGCCGCGGUAAUACCGGCGGCUCGAGUGGUGGCCACUAUUACUGGGCUUAAAGCGUUCGUAGCUGGUCUGUUAAGUCUCUGGGGAAAUCUACUGGCUUAACCAAUAGGCGUCUCAGGGAUACUGGCAGACUAGGGACCGGGAGAGGUGAGAGGUACUCCAGGGGUAGGAGUGAAAUCCUGUAAUCCUUGGGGGACCACCUGUGGCGAAGGCGUCUCACCAGAACGGCUCCGACAGUGAGGGACGAAAGCUGGGGGAGCAAACCGGAUUAGAUACCCGGGUAGUCCCCAGCCGUAAACGAUGCGCGUUAGGUGUAUCGAUGGACCACGAGUCAUCGAGGUGCCGAAGAGAAAUCGUGAAACCGUGCCCGCCUGGGGAAAUCGGUCGCAAGGCUGAAAACUUUAAAGGAAUUGGCGGGGGAGCACCACACAGGUGG